rnacentral:lncRNA from 1 species
AUUUCACUCUUUGUUUGUAACCUCCAAAGAUAAUGUGUGUGUUUGUGUGUUUCUGAUUUGGAGUGCAAAUAGCUGCACUCAUAAAACUCCUGAAAUUGUGUUUCUAGGAAAAUUUAACAUGGCCGAGGAAAAUGGAUGCUUUUCUGGAAAUAUAUAAAAGUUUUUCAAAUUACCUGACACAAAGCAGAUACCCUUAAAAUACUGAUAAUCAAGAAGCAAAGUUAUUAAAAAAUUACUUCUGCAGAAGUUUCCACAGACUCAUACAUUCUGCCAGAUUUCAAGGAAUAGGUAAUUCCUGUUAUUUAAAUUGUUUCAGAAUAUAGGACACAAAAAGGAGGCAAAACAGACAUUCUGAUUCAUUGUUCAAAAUUUUUACAUCCUGGGACUUCCCUGCUGGUCCAGUGGCUAAGACCAUGAGCUCCCAAUGCAAGGGACCUGGGUUUGAUCCCUGGUCAGGGAACUAGAUCCCACAUGCUGCAACUAAGACCCUGUACAGCCAAAUAAAUAAAUAUUAUUAAAAAAAAAAAAAUUUUUACGUCCUUGCUGCCCAAACCUGGAGAGGGGCCAUUCUCUGGCCUGAGACAAAGCAAAAGCAAACCACCCAAGGCCAUUCUCACAAAGUUACAAAAUCCGUUCCAAAACAGUAAAUUAAGUCCAGCAUUAUAUUGAAAGAGUAAUGCAUUCUUGUAUGUGCAUGGAUCUUUUAUUGGUGGAAAGAAAAACGCAUACCUUGAAGAUACAUUUGAUACAAUUCAAAAUGUUUUAAAUGUAGGUAAUAUAGAGAAGGAAACUGCUAACUUGCUAUAAGGUACUUAGAGAACUAUCAAAAUCAGUGUUAAUGAUGAAACAUUGGAGCACAGUGACAUCCUCCCAUAAUGCUGGGUGGGGUAAGGUUGGUUCCAUUUGGGUAAAAUGUGGGGUGAGCUUGACCAAAUAACGGGCAAAUUCAGAGGGUUGGGAAGUCAUCAAUUGCAUUGUACUGGAAUUCAUAUUAUUGUUUGAUUUUUUUUCUAUAUUCUCAGAGUCUGGAACAAGUCAAAAAUAUCAGCUGCCACUUCAGUUCUUCAGUAUUGUUCUCUGGGGCUUAGCAAAUGAGAUAGAAAUAUUGAGAAUGGAAGCAACAGAAUGUUACUUACAAGUUGAGUUCCAUGUAUGGAUGUGAGAGUUGGACUGUGAAGAA